UCCGGCGUGGUUUAGUGGCUAGGAUAUUUGGCUUUCACCUAGAAGACCCAGGUUCGAUUCCCGGCGUCGGAA
rnacentral:tRNA from 1 species